rnacentral:rRNA from 1 species
UUGGAGGGCAAGUCUGGUGCCAGCAGCCGCGGUAAUUCCAGCUCCAAUAGCGUAUAUUAAAGUUGCUGCAGUUAAAAAGCUCGUAGUUGAAUUUCGGGACCAAUAUGUCGGUCGUGCCUCGGUACGUACUGGCAUCGUUGGUUUCUUCCUUCUGACGAAUCAUGAUGUCAUUCAUUUGGUGUCGUGGGGAAUCAGGACUGUUACUUUGAAAAAAUUAGAGUGUUUAAAGCAGGCUCACGCUUGAAUACAUUAGCAUGGAAUAAUGAAAUAGGACGUUUGAUUCUAUUUUGUUGGUUUCUAGGAUCGACGUAAUGAUUAAUAGGGAUAGUUGGG